rnacentral:rRNA from 1 species
AGUGAACGCUGGCGGCGUGCCUAAUACAUGCAAGUCGAACGGAGUGGCUCACGGGUGAGUAAUGUAUAGCUAAUCUGCCCUACCCUAGAGGACAACAGAUGGAAACAACUGCUAAUACUCUAUAGUUUAGCAUGAGGAUAUAUUGUAUCAGCUAGUUGGUGAGGUAAUGGAGCACCAAGGUUAUGACUGAUAACUGGUCUGAGAGGAUGGUCAGUCACACUGGAAGUGAGACACGGUCCAGACUCCUACGGGAGGGAGCAGUAGGGAACAGUGCUAAAUGGGGGAAACGCUGAAGCAGCAACGCCGCGUGGAGGAUGACAUUUUUCGGAGCGUAAACUCCUGUUGUUAGGGAAGCGGUACCUAAAGAAUAAGCCCCGGCUAACUCCGUGCCAGCAGCCGCGGUAAUUC